rnacentral:rRNA from 1 species
UGUUUGGAGAGUUUGAUUCUGGCUCAGGACGAACGCUGGCGGCGUGCUUAACACAUGCAAGUCGAACGGAAAGGCCCUUUCGGGGGUACUCGAGUGGCGAACGGGUGAGUAACACGUGGGUGAUC